CUUGAGUGGCCUUCUGCGGGAUUAGCUCACAAAAAGUUCCAUCAACGGGAUGCGUUACAUAUCAUAUCUUUAGCAGCUGUGCCUCCCUGCCUACGUCAACAGUUGGUAAAAUCCCAGCAUCACAGCAGUUGACAACAACUGGCCAAGCAAGGUUCAAAGCACUGACAGUGUACGUAUGGGGGUUUGCAAGGAAACCAAGACCACGACUUUAUAGUACCAGUUUCGACAGGAAUGAGCGGAGUUUCAGAGCACAAAUGACACCCGAAGCGGGGGCUCUUCCCCUCCGAAAAACACUGGGUUUGGGAUUUGAAAGAAGGGCCAGCAAAUGGAAAUUCACUCCAUCACACUCCGCACAAUGACUUAAAAAAUGAGCAAGCUCUCUUUCCCCACCUCCCACACUGAGGUGAUCUGUUGAGAUUACCCGCACUACGCAGUAGAGCUAGUUACCAAAUACCCUGCAUAUCCUGUUCCGGCUAAUUUCACUGAG
rnacentral:sRNA from 1 species